rnacentral:rRNA from 1 species
AGCAGCCGCGGUAAUUCCAGCUCCAAUAGCGUAUAUUAAAGUUGUUGCAGUUAAAAAGCUCGUAGUUGAAUUUCGAGAUCAGUACGCUGGUCGUGCCUUCGGUAUGCACUGGUGACACUGGUUUCUCCCUUCUGAAGAACCGUCAUGUCAUUAAGUUGGUGUGGCGGGGAAUCAGGAUUGUUACUUUGAAAAAAUUAGAGUGUUUAAAGCAGGCAUUUUGCUUGAAUACAUUAGCAUGGAAUAAUAAAAUAGGACGGCAUGAUUCUAUUUUGUUGGUUUCUAGGAUCACCGUAAUGAUUAAUAGGGAUAGUUGGGGGCAUUAGUAUUCAAUUGUCAGAGGUGAAAUUCUUGGAUUUAUUGAAGACUAACUACUGCGAAAGCAUUUGCCAAGGAUGUUUUCAUUAAUCAAGAACGAAAGUUAGGGGAUCGAAGACGAUCAGAUACCGUCGUAGUCUUAACCAUAAACUAUGCCGACUAGGGAUCGGAUGAUGUUAAUUUUUUAAUGAC